rnacentral:rRNA from 1 species
AACGAACGCUGGCGGCAUGCUUUACACAUGCAAGUCGAGCGGCAGCGCGGGGGCAACCCUGGCGGCGAGCGGCGAACGGGUGAGUAAUGCAUCGGAACGUACCCUGGAGUGGGGGAUAACGCCGCGAAAGCGGCGCUAAUACCGCAUAUGCUCUGAGGAGGAAAGUGGGGGACCGCAAGGCCUCACGCUCUGGGAGCGGCCGAUGUCCGAUUAGCUAGUUGGUGGGGUAAAGGCCUACCAAGGCGACGAUCGGUAGCUGGUCUGAGAGGAUGAUCCGCCACACUGGAACUGAGACACGGUCCAGACUCCUACGGGAGGCAGCAGUGGGGAAUUUUGGACAAUGGGGGCAACCCUGAUCCAGCCAUGCCGCGUGAGUGAAGAAGGCCUUCGGGUUGUAAAGCUCUUUCGGCCGGGAAGAAAUCGCACGGGCUAAUACCCUGUGUGGAUGACGGUACCGGAAUAAGAAGCACCGGCUAACUACGUGCCAGCCGCCGCGGUAACAC